UACGUAGGGAGCGAGCGUUGUCCGGAAUUACUGGGUGUAAAGGGAGCGUAGGCGGGCUUGUAAGUUGAAUGUCUAAUCCACCGGCUCAACCGGUGAUCGCGUUCAAAACUGCAGGUCUUGAGUGAAGUAGAGGCAGGCGGAAUUCCUAGUGUAGCGGUGAAAUGCGUAGAUAUUAGGAGGAACACCAGUGGCGAAGGCGACUUUCUGGACCGUAACUGACGUUGAGGCACGAAAGUGUGGGGAGCAAACAGG
rnacentral:rRNA from 1 species